rnacentral:rRNA from 1 species
CCUACGGGUGGCAGCAGUGGGGAAUAUUGCACAAUGGGGGAGACCCUGAUGCAGCCACGCCGCGUGAGUGAAGAAGUAUCUCGGUAUGUAAAGCUCUAUCAGCAGGGAAGAAAAUGACGGUACCUGUUUAAGAAGCCCCGGCUAACUACGUGCACGCAGCCGGGGUAAUACGUAGGGGGCAAGAGUUAUCCGGAUUUACUGGGGGUAAAGGGAGAGUAGUCGGCAGCACAAGUCUGGAGUGAAAUGGCGGGGCUUAACCCCGGAACUGCUUUGGAAACUGUGCAGCUAGAGUGCAGGAGAGGUAAGUGGAAGUCCUAGUGUAACGGUUAAAUGCCUAGAUAUUAGGAGGAACCCCAGUUGCGAUGGCGGCUUACUGGACUGUAACUGACGUUGAGGCUCGAAAGCGUGGGGAGCAAACAGGAUUAGAUACCCGAGUAGUC